CUACGUGCCAGCAGCCGCGGUAAUACGUAGGGUGCGAGCGUUAAUCGGAAUUACUGGGCGUAAAGCGAGCGCAGACGGUUACUUAAGCAGGAUGUGAAAUCCCCGGGCUCAACCUGGGAACUGCGUUCUGAACUGGGUGACUAGAGUGUGUCAGAGGGAGGUAGAAUUCCACGUGUAGCAGUGAAAUGCGUAGAGAUGUGGAGGAAUACCGAUGGCGAAGGCAGCCUCCUGGGAUAACACUGACGUUCAUGCUCGAAAGCGUGGGUAGCAAACAGGAUUAGAUACCCUGGUAGUCCACGCCCUAAACGAUGUCAAUUAGCUGUUGGGCAACUUGAUUGCYUAGUAGCGUAGCUAACGCGUGAAAUUGACCGCCUGGGGAGUACGGUCGCAAGAUUAAAACUCAAAGGAAUUGACGGGGACCCGCACAAGCGGUGGAUGAUGUGGAUUAAUUCGAUGCAACGCGAAGAACCUUACCUGG
rnacentral:rRNA from 1 species